UACGUAGGGGGCAAGCGUUGUCCGGAUUUACUGGGCGUAAAGCGCGCGUAGGCGGUUUGGAAAGUCAGAUGUGAAAGCCCCGGGCUCAACUUGGGAACUGCAUUUGAUACUGCCAGACUAGAGUACAGAAGAGGUGACUGGAAUUCCCAGUGUAGCGGUGAAAUGCGUAGAUAUUGGGAGGAACACCAGAUGCGAAGGCGGGUCACUGGGCUGAUACUGACGCUGAUGCGCGAAAGCCAGGGGAGCGAACGGG
rnacentral:rRNA from 1 species